rnacentral:rRNA from 1 species
GUAGUCUCGCACAGAUGCAUAUCAAUAAGCGGAGGAAAAGAAACUAACAAGGAUUCCCCUAGUAACGGCGAGUGAAGCGGGAAGAGCUCAAAUUUGAAAUCUUAAAGGGUUUCCCUUUACGAAUUGUAGUUUAAAGAAGUGUUUUCUGUUGAGGUUUUGGUAAAAGUUCUUUGGAAUAGGACAUCAUAGAGGGUGAGAAUCCCGUAUUUGACCUUUACUUUCAACUUUGUGAUACACUUUCAAAGAGUCGGAUUGUUUGGGAAUGCAGUCCAAAAUGGGUGGUAAAUUUCAUCUAAAGCUAAAUAUUGGCGAGAGACCGAUAGCGAACAAGUACCGUGAGGGAAAGAUGAAAAGAACUUUGAAAAGAGAGUUAAACAGUACGUGAAAUUGUCAAAAGGGAAGCGUUUGACACCAGUGUUGUUUUUCUGAAAAUCAAUUAAAGAACUGUUUAUGCUAAGCUGUUUAGACUUUAUCAGCUAACUGUUUAGUUUUGAGCUUUUCUUUAAUGCACUUUUCAGUUAACAAGUCAACAUCAAUUUCUUUUGCUGUAAAAAAGCUUGAGGAAGGUGGCUUGAGAUUCGUCUUAAGUGUUUAUAGCCUCUUGCCUACGCAGUCGGAGAGAUUGAGGUCCGCAGCGUAGAUCCUUCGGGGCUAAAUGCAUUUGUGCUAAGUUAUAGCAUUUUAUAGACAACUUGUUGACUAUGAUUUGUCUUGUAGCUUACUCGCUUAUGUUAUUUUACCUACGCUUAGGAUGUUGAUAUCGCGCUCUCCUG